UCUGCCAGUUCUUCACCUUAACUGUUCCAUCCAGCUAAACAAAGAAAAUGAUCACGUAAGGAUCAAAGCUGUCAUCUGAAAAUUUAAGGGGGAAGAUGGAGGACAGAUUUCUUGGUGGAUCUCAUUUGGACUGUCCAGCUCCUCCCAAGCUUUCCAGGAACUGCUGUAGGCUGAGGAGUGCCCCUGCCUGCUGCUCCAAGGAUGACCUAAAACUGUUGCAGCUCCACCAGGUCCACGACAAAGGGUACCAUGUUCUCCUUCCUCUCUUCCAAGCAUGACCUGAAUUAAUGGCUUUGGGUGUAGCCAUACAACCUCUGGAACUUUGUAAAAGGGAGUGGUGCGGCCAUAUAACCUCUAGUACUUUGUAAAAGCAGUUCUUGCCUCUCAACAAAGCAGCGUGGCCACCAGAGAAAUGUAAUAACCUCUUCUCUUUUCCCCUUUCCUUCCUGCAAAUAGUGGGUCUUUCCUAUUCCUUGUGUCUGUUUUAUCAUUCACACUUGCAUGUACUUAAUAUAUAUACAUUUUUCCAAAACAGCAGAAUGGCAAGAUCUGGUGUCAGUGUCACCAGGGCUGGCUCUGCAGGACUGUGGCUGGACUGAAGUGACCUGCAGAUUAAACACUGCUCUGSAGGGCUGAAGUGCUACAGCAUUCUGUGCCAGGACAAGUGCUGCUUCAUGGACUGUGUUUGGAAGAGCACAGUAAACAUAUUUUACGGGAUUUUAUGAGGUUUUAGAAAAGACGUUGCACAUUUUUUAAUUUAUGAGGGUAAUGAAAGAUCAAGAAGCAUAUUAUGAUUAUAAUUUGAAAUCACCAAAGCUGUUUUUUGUCUUGUCUUGAUUAUUCUUUGACCCAAUCUAAAAUUUCUCUCCUGCACAGAAGUGUUCCACAGUUUCUCCUAAAAUAGAUCCAUCCUGAUUGUUCUGCUUCAGUAAUGUUAUAGGUCUGAUUCAGUAAAAAAAGGAAUUGCUGUACAGAUGUCUUUAUAAAUAUAAUGAAAAUGUUUUUCUUCUCUUCCUUUUCUUACCGAUUCUCCACAGCUCGUCUCAGGAAAGUUACAAGGAACCUUCCAGAGAGCGCAGCUGGGAGCUGGUUCCAAAUGACCAUAUUGAUCACUUACAAGGGCUAAAAAUAAAGGUGAGAGUUGGGAAGAAAUGAGAGAUGGGAACAAGUGAGAGAUGGGAACAAGUAUUCUGCUUGUCACAUUCAGAUUCAGUUUGGGCAGGAGCACAAGGUAAGCAAUGGUCUUUGUGUCCUCRCUCUGGGCAAGGGCAGUGCAGAGAGGAUGUGCCAGCCAKGGGGGCGGAGGGGAAGGUGGUGAURAAGCAUUGCUCAGCUGAGCCUGGCUGCUGCUUCCCUAGGUCUCUCUCCCUUCUGGCUCCCCAAACRGUCUGCAGCACUUGCAAAGAAAGUAGGGCUGGCUUCUGCUUCCCCGUCAGCUGAAAUGCCACAGGAUGUGGCUUCUCGUUUUUUCCUCUCUAGUCCUCUGGGAACAAAAAACCUUCAUGUUCCAAAUACAGGCUCUUCAGAAAGGAGGCACAGGCAGAUUUCCCCACACUUGCCUCUSUGUUUUCCCCCUUUGCCCAAGCAGCACCACACUGAGUGCUGUUCACAGCUUCUUGCUUUACAGAUUUACCUAUCACUUACCUUCCUUUCAGCUCAAACUAACCACAAAGCCAUACCUUCUAGUUCAAAACCCAGGAGUCCUAAUAUYUGACAGUAAGUAGACACAUGGUCAUAUUUCAGCCUGUAGUUUUUAGAGGUCUGGAAAUAAACACCUGGCUUCUCUCAGUGCCAAGCUCCUCAAUAGCCUGUUAUAGCCUACACCUACUAAUGCUCUCAAAUGCAGAGCUGUUAGAGCUGUUGCCCCUUUUAUGGGUGUUUUUUCCCUGGCGUGCCUUCUUGAGGUGGACUCCCCACGCCUGCCCCCACAGUCUUGGCAGAUAAAAUGCAAGCUCUUUUUUUUUUUGCAAGUGGUCACUUUAAACUUUCCACUUCAGCUUGUUAUUGCCCAUUUGCUAAGAAUCUUAUUUCCUGUUGUUUUCUCUUUAUUUCCAUUUGGUUUUGGGUAGUUCCUGAGGUACAGUGUCCUCUCACAACAACAGCAGAUGUCAGCAUGGCUUGUCUCGUGGCACAGGCUGCAUAGAGAAAACAGCACUGCCCACUGUGCCCACUGCUAUGAGCUGGUGGCACAUCAGGWAACUCCUUGGGUGCACAAAAGGCAAAGACAGACUGACUUUCAUGUGGGGAAACUGAUGGAACCAGUGUGCAGCUGUCAUGUAGUGGGCUUUACUGGUGGAAUUGAAUGCAUUUCAGAGGAAAGCAAGAUUAAUUCCCACCCUUGUAUAGGUGGGAAAACCAAAGCACGUGUAAAAGUUCUUCAACAGAUCAAGUGCUGCACUGAGAACACAACUGGAAUAUAAAUCUUCAGCCUCUCAGACUUGUGGCUUGUCUAUUCCCUGUUUGGAGAGGGUUUAUGCACRAGCAUGAUUAAAAAUGCCCAAAAACUAUGCCUUGACUGAGUUAUUUCAUGGCAACUGAUGUUGAGGUCUGUUAUUUUUUUUUCCAAGGCUCACAUARCAAAGGGGGAGAAAAUAGAAAGGUUUGGAAUGUGUUUGCAAAGUUAUAGGAGUGAUGAUUGAUCAGGACAAUGUGGAAGUAGAAAUCUUUCAGAAGGGGACAGAAGACUGAAGAGUUGCUCAGAUGGUAGACGGAUGAAUUGUUCAAGAGGUCACACGAAAUGGCAGAGGGUAGAAGAUCUGUCAUGGAAAAAGAAGAAAUGCUGAGGAGAUAUGUGGGGCAUGGGGAGCCCUGAAAAUCUUGCUCUCUCACAAAGUUCCGGACCCAUCAGGUAAAAGAAGUCUUGAGGAGGUGGAAAAAGCAGGGCCAGAUCACUUAUGGCAAAGUCCUAUGUCACUUGGGAGAGGAAAAGGGAGGCUCAGGGUACCUGUGUUUGGCCKUUCUGGGGUGCUUACAACUAAGAAAGAUGUGUUGGAUUUCCAGAUAAUUCACAGAAAUGGAGGGAAGAAAUUAUUGGCUGAUAAAUUUGGUGAAAUUUGUUUUUUCUCACCCUUUUCCUUCCUCGCUUUACUCUCAACUGCCCUUUAAAUAUAAGAGAGUUUCAGAAACCACAGAAAAAUUCUCUUGUUCUUACAGCACUCUAUAAGAAGUUGUAUUAGCUGUUGAUAUUGCCCACUUAGAAAAAUUUUGGCUCUGUUUUUUCUUUUUUAAUGAUGCCUAAUAUUACAAAAGUCAGGUUGUUCAACAGMUUUAUCUAGUUUUAUCUUAGGGUUUGCUCUUUUCUUGUUGCCUGUUUGAAUAUUUUUAGCCUGGGCAAGAGAGAGGAACUGGCCAAUUCAUUACCCCUGUUCAUUAGCACUGGUUUACUGCUGUGUACCACUGGGCAUGCUAGAAGAGGAAUGUAAUUGUUUUUUGUAAAGAAAUUUUGAGAUUAAGGCAAACAAGGAAGAAAAGAGGCUUGAGGAGGUCAGCUACCCCAUUUCCCAGCCUCAGGACAGAACUGGUUCUGUGCCAUCAAUCUGAGAGGUGUUUGACACAUUUGACUUCCUGAAACCUCUGGCAGGUCUGAUUUCUCGAUCUCUUCUAGUUUCUAUUCUAACAAUCCACAACACUGUAAUGUUAUUCCUCAUAUAUAUCCCAGGCUCCCAUCUUACUGUGAUUUGCUGCCUGUACUUGAGCUGUUUACCAAGGGCAUGGAAGGUAGGUUAUUCUUUUUACAGCAGCUAACACUGUUCUCACCUCUCCUCUCUGUCCUCCUUCCUUUAGGCUGAUGAACAUUGUGGCUACUGAUGCAGUUUUACAAUGAAUAUCCCAGCUCCUCUGUAAUAUUUUCAUUCAGACCAUAUUUUCCCUAGUUUGGUUUUGCCAAGCUCACAUGAAACACUGUCAAAGCCCUCAGCACAAUGUACGUGUUUUUUUUUGUGCUUGCCUUGUCUUUGUCAUAGAAAGAAACACACUUGAUUGGAUCUGUUUGUGACAGACGUGGGUGGGAUUUUGCAAACCUCCCAAAUACUGGGAAGAUGUUCCCAGAAGGAGUGUUAAUUUUGUUUUCCCUUGGAGUUAAAGUUUAAUGAAGCAAGCCAUAACUCUGACUCCUCCCUUUCCCCUUUUCUAAGAUGGACAUUGUCUUCAUAACUCUUCUGGAAGCAUCCUAACCCUGCACAAGCAGUCAGAGACCACUUCUGAUGGCUCCAAGGGUUCUGAAUUCCUCUGGAUUAAUUACAUCCAAAUAAAAACUUCAUAGUUUAUCUACACUUAUCUACUUUGUUCUUUAUCAAUUCUAACCUGAGGUUAUCCCUGAUAUUACUGGCAUUAAUUUUGUUGACUGCCUGAUCCGAAAUGUUUUUUUUUUUUUAAUAGAU